UAUAGCUGAGUCCUGGUACUUGGGGGUUGAGAGAGAGAGAGAGAGAGAGAGAGGAACAGAAACAGUGGAAGAAAGAAACGUUUCGCUCGAUUUUCCAUGAAAACAGAAACAAAGACGGGUAAAGCAAAAGCAAGAUUGAAUGAUGGGCAGUGUAGAUUUGUCAAUAUAGUAGUAGUUGUAGCUGUAACAGAAGAAGAGUAGAUCCGAAAUGGGUUGGGGAUUGGGGGCCAUAUUUGAAGGAAUAGUGGUGGUAGGAUCACUGUUUCUAUUAGGAUGGGCAGGUCUUUGGUUCUUAAACAGAAGACUCUACAAAGAAUACGAAGAGAAAAGAGCAUUGGUUCAGAUCAUUUUCAGUGUUGUUUUUGCUUUCUCUUGCAAUCUCCUUCAACUUGUCCUCUUCGAAAUCAUCCCUCUCCUCUCCAAACAGGCAAGAUGGAUAAAUUGGAAGGUGGAUCUGUUUUGUUUAAUAUUGUUACUUGUCUUCAUGUUGCCGUAUUAUCACUGCUACUUGAUGCUUCGCAACAACGGCGUGAGGAGGGAAAGGGCUGCACUCGGAGCCAUCAUAUUCUUGUUUGCCUUUCUCUAUGCUUUUUGGCGCAUGGGCGUUCACUUCCCCAUGCCUUCGCCUGAUAAAGGUUUUUUCACAAUGCCUCAGCUAGUCAGCAGAAUUGGGGUUAUUGGUGUCACUGUUAUGGCUGUUUUGUCUGGUUUUGGAGCUGUGAAUCUACCUUACAGUUAUUUAUCUCUCUUCAUUAGAGAAAUUGGGGAUUCAGAGAUCAAAGCCUUGGAAAGACAAUUAAUGCAAUCCAUUGAGACUUGUGUUGCGAAGAAAAAGAAGAUUGUCCUUUCUCAAAUGGAGAUGGAACGAAUCCAGGGAUCCGAGGAGAAGUUAAACGCUAGAUCUUUCUUCAAACGGAUAGUUGGCACAGUUGUACGAUCCGUGCAAGAUGAUCAAAAGGAGCAAGAUAUCAAAACCAUGGAAGCAGAGGUUGAAGCCUUAGAAGAGCUUUCAAAGCAGCUAUUUUUGGAAAUAUAUGAGCUUCGCCAAGCUAAGGAGGCAGCUGCUUUUUCUCGAACUUGGAGGGGUCACAUGCAGAAUUUACUUGGCUAUGCAUGUUCUGUUUAUUGUGUAUACAAAAUGAUUAAGUCUUUGCAAAGUGUUAUAUUCAAGGAGGCUGGCUCAGUUGAUCCUGUGACAAGGACUAUUAGCUUAUUUUUGCAGUUCUUUGACAUAGGAAUUAAUGCUGCAUUAUUAUCGCAGUACAUUUCCCUACUAUUCAUUGGCAUCUUGGUCGUCAUAUCAGUUCGAGGAUUUUUAACUAAUCUCAUGAAGUUCUUCUUUGCCGUUUCCAGAGUUGGGAGUGGAUCUUCAAGCAAUGUUGUACUUUUUCUGUCUGAAAUUAUGGGAAUGUACUUUGUCUCUUCUAUACUGUUGAUAAGAAAAAGCUUAGCAACUGAGUACAGGAUAACCAUAACAGCUGUCUUGGGUGGAGAAAUUCAGUUUGACUUCUAUCACCGGUGGUUUGAUGCGAUCUUUGUAGCAAGUGCUUUCCUUUCUCUUCUUUUGCUUUCUGCACAUUACACAUCUCGCCAGGCUGACAAACACCCAAUUGAUUGAUACAUACGUUGCGGAGCAUACUCGCAAGAUGAUGACUACAAUCCCAAACUAGGUUAAAAACGAUUUUAAGGCGCUCGAGACUGAUUUUAUUUCCAAGGUCAACAGCAGCAACUCUGUACCACCGUAGGAUUUUGGUAUGCCAUUUGUUGUGUGCAUAUGAUACAUGUGUAAUGGGAAAUUAACGUCGUGGUCAACUUUAUGAAUGUUCGUGUCUGAUUAUUAUUCCAUGAAUGAAAAUGACACCUUGUGGCCGAACGAGCUGGGGCACUGCCAAUCCUGAGCCGUGACUUUCAGCCUGUAGUCAAUGAUGGUGUUUAUGAAAAGUCUGAUUUAUUUA